CGCGAAUUCGCCCUUCGGGGUGCACCAGGCGCGAAAACUUUACAAUGCGGGAAACCGUGAUAAGGGGACACCGAGUGCCAGCAUCAUAUGCUGGCUGUCCAGGUGUGUAAAAUACACCUGUCAGCAAGGGCCGGGCAAGACCGGUGCCAGCCGCCGCGGUAACACCGGCGGCCCGAGUGGUGAUCGUGAUUAUUGGGUCUAAAGGGUCCGUAGCCGGUUUGGUCAGUCCUCCGGGAAAUCUGACGGCUCAACCGUUAGGCUUUCGGGGGAUACUGCCAGGCUUGGAACCGGGAGAGGUAAGAGGUACUACAGGGGUAGGAGUGAAAUCUUGUAAUCCCUGUGAGACCACCUGUGGCGAAGGCGUCUUACCAGAACGGGUUCGACGGUGAGGGACGAAAGCUGGGGGCACGAACCGGAUUAGAUACCCGGGUAGUCCCAGCCGUAAACGAUGCUCGCUAGGUGUCAGGCAUGGCGCGACCGUGUCUGGUGCCGCAGGGAAGCCGUGAAGCGAGCCACCUGGGAAGUACGGCCGCAAGGCUGAAACUUAAAGGAAUUGGCGGGGGAGCAC
rnacentral:rRNA from 1 species